rnacentral:rRNA from 1 species
AAUUUGGAGAGUUUGAUCCUGGCUCAGGACGAACGCUGGCGGCGUGCCUAAUACAUGCAAGUCGAGCGGAUCUUGUCCUUCGGGACAAGGUUAGCGGCGGACGGG